rnacentral:sRNA from 1 species
AGUUGUUGAAGCUGGUUGUUGUUGUGCUGUGUGAACCCAGGUGGUGGAAGUUGCUGCUGAUAGUUGCCCUGAUACUGCUGCUUAGGAACAUACCCUUGACCUUGGUUGUAUGGAACAAAGGGCUUGGGUUGAUUCUGCUGCUAUGAAGGGUAAACUUGGUCCUGCGGGUUUGCAAUGUUUGUACUUCUGUAAGACAGAUUGGGAUGGUUCUGCUUGAAGUUGUUGAAACCUUUGUUGUAACCUCCUUGGUUCUGCACAUAACUGACCUCUUCUGACUGCAUAGUCUCCCCAUCCUGAACUUGGAACGUCUCAUCAUCACCCAGAAAAUGAAUGUGCUUCUGUUGCGCAAGCAGUAGCUUGUCCAGUUUGUCAUUCAUGGCUUUCAUUUCCCUGCGAUGCUUCUCAUCAGAAUCAGAGCUGGUGCGGACGCUUCUAUCAUAAUCUUCAUUAUAGUUGCCAUCCGACUAAGCUAAGUUCUCUACCAGCUCCCAUCCGUCUUCAACGUCUUUGUUGAGAAAGUUCCCGUUAGAAGCGGUAUCUAGAAGCAUCCUGAUCUUUGGGAGGACACCUCUGUAGAGAGUGCUGAGAAGCGAAGCUUUGGAGAAACCAUGAUGAGGACAUUGCGUCUGAUAACCUUUGAAGCGCUCCCAUGCUUCGCAGAAAGUCUCAUUAUUCGUCUGAGUGAAACCGGAGAUAUCAUUCCUUAGUCUCGCAGUCCUGGAGUUCGAGAAAAACUUAGCCAAGAAGGCUUUCUUGCAGUCAUUCCAGGAGGUGAUAGAGCCUUGAGGAAGCGACUUUUCCCACUGAUGGGCUUUGUCUCCAAGAGAGAAAGGAAACAAUCUGAGCUUGAAGCCAUCCUCACUGACUCCAUUGAUCUUUGUUAGGCUGCAGAGCCUAUCAAACUCGUCCAGGUGAUCGAGUGGAUCCUCCAUAGGGAGGCCGUGGAACUUGUUGCUCUGAACCAUGGCAAUGAGACCGCUCUUGAUCUCAAAGUUGUUGUUCUGCACAGGUGGAGGCACGAUUCCAUUACGCUGAUUGUGGUUGCGUGGUGCAUCGCCUGCACCUAUGUUGUUUGGUUGCACCUGCUCAUCAACAACUGCAGCCAUUGUGUCUGUUUCUGUCUGUGUUCUGAGUUGGCGUGCAAUACGGUCGAUGUUAUCGUUGAACAGGAGAUUCUGAUUUCCUCGUGACCGUGUUUGCAUACAACGAGUACCAACUGGUGAAGCUAGUGAUCCGUAGUACCUAAAUCAAAACAGACAAACAGAAAUAACACAAAGUUAGUAACUUUCAGAAAAAAUGAAAAAGAACUUGAUCUUAAAUAUUCUGAAAUCUCAAAUAUAGCAAACAAACACCCAAUUGGCAACGGCGCCAAAUUGAUAAUAUAUUUUUAGUCAAUUAUUCCUAAAACACCAAUCAUGUCAUUGUAGUAUUUUAGGUGUCAAUCCAAAUGGGUGUGAUGCAAACAGAUGAGAUGUGAUCAGAAGUCUCUAAGUCAAGCCAAGCAAUAACAGAUUUGGGGUUUCUAACAGUCCUAAGCGAACAUGCAGAAAACAGAAGCAAUAACAGAAUUACUAAAAUCACUCGACCACAACAGGCUGAUGCCAGAAGUAGGAUGUGGUCGAGUAACAGGUCGAGUAACAGACAGGAUAUAAAACAGCUAUACUCGACUGCACAGUCUGUUGCCAGACACUGGGUGUGGUCGAGUAUACUGGUCGAGUGAUUGUAAAAACUAAGAAACAGGCAAUGAGAACGAUUAAGCGAUAACGAUAAAACAGAGAAAUAAGGUAGACGAGAAAUUCCUAAGGAUGGGGUAAUCGAGUAGAGUGGUGUCCUAGCCUAUUCGAAUGGUUAACAAGCGCAAUCAAGCUAUCCCUAGACAACAGGUUCAACAACAGAUCAAUCCACUCCCGUGAUAGAAAUCCUCAAGCAAAGCUAGCCCAGACUAAUUCCCAUUAACGGAAUCUAACUAUGCAGGCAAUACGAACAGACUGAUAAAGUCAAUAAACGCUCUAAACGGCCAAUCCCUUGGGAUAGAGACGCAUAUCUCAGGAACUAGUGGAUCAAGCAUUCCAUCGAACACCUUCUGGGUGCGGGAAUGCUUGGGAUCGAAUUCCAGUUGAUCAGAAAGAAAUAAGCAGUAAACGCAACUAGUCCUAAAGGGAUUCAAUCAAUUCUAAAACUUAACCAUUCUACAGACUACGGAUUCCACAACUACUCUAUCCCAUCCCUAAGAAUUCUAAGUCACUACUCAGACAUCACGCUCAAAGACAUAAACGCAGGUAAACGAUAAUAUUGCAUAAGUAAAGAGAUAAAGAGUAGAGAAACAAGAUGACUAAUGAAAUCAAACGCGGAAUCUCAAUAACUUGGAAAAAUCGCGAACUACAGGUUGCAGAAGCAAAAGCGGCGUAGCAGAGUAAAACUGAAAAUAAAACUGAAGCAAAAACGCAAUGUCCACUAGAUGUUUUAGGACAGAACCCUAAAACAUCUAUUUAUACCAAACGAAAUAAAAUGAUAGUAGACGGGCCAAUAACCUAAUCGCCCGGCCCAUAGAGUGAUAAUGGGCCGAGAUGGGCUUCGUGAUCCGAUGGAGGUCCAGGCCGCUUCCAAACACUUUGUCUUCUCCUCUUUUCUUCCUUGUGCUCAGCUUGUCUGGUUGAGUGCGGAUUUGAGUAGACUGUGAAGACGUGAUCGAGUGUCCGGUCGAGUGAUGGUGAUGGUGGUGAGUGAUGAUACUCGACCAGGGGGUCGAGUAACGUGGUAGAGUGAAUGGUCGAGUGUGGUCAGGUGGUGUGGCGAAGCGGUACUCGACCGGGGGUCGAGUAAUGUCGUCGAGUGGCCUGAGCUGAGGUUACUCGACCUGGUGGUCGAGUGGACGGGAAGAAUGGCUCCAAAGUCACUCGACCUGGGGGUCGAGUAUGUGGGAAGAAUGGCUCCAAAGUCACUCGGCUUGGGGGUCGAGUAUGUCUUCUGGUUCUGGCUCGUUUCUUCCAAUUUGCUCGCAAACAGCUCCAAAUCACCUGAAAACAACUCAGAAAUGCAAUAUGUAUGCAAAGCUAUCCUAAUCAUGCAAAGUGUGCAAGAAUGAUGAGAAAUGAUAUAAAACAGUGAUGAAUGAUACGAAACUAGACUCAAAGUGAUGAUGAAUAGACACUGAAAACAUGCAAAUUAUAGACAUAUCAAAUGAUAUAAAACAGUGAUGAAUGAUAUGCAACUAGACUCAAAAAGAUGAUGAAUGACCACAA